ACUCACUCCUUCCCGCCGCCUUAUGAAGAAGAUGCCUGCUCCUCUUUGCCUUCUACCGUGUUUAUAAGUUUCCUGAGGCCUCUCCAGCCAUGCAGAACUGUGAGUCAAUUAAAUCUCUUUCCGUUAUAAAUUACCAAGUCAUGGGUAUUUCUUUAUAGCAGUGUAGAAUGAACUAAUACAGCAGGCAAACCAGAACAGAGUCAUUUGUGCUAGGUGCCACGUAAUCAGACUGAACUUCAAAAUUAGCCAUUUUCAACCACCCCCCAACCCCCCCCCCCCAAAAAAAACCCACAUUACAGUCAGGCUGAGUCACUAUAAUACAAAAGUCCCUUCUGUUUAAAGUAUCUUUGAAAAGGCCAAUCCAUUUUUUGUCUCUGAUUCUGCUGUCUUCAGCCUUUUUCUGCCUACAAAGCCAAGCUCUUCUGCUCAGCUCAUUGAGAACGUUUAUUCUAUUUGAUAGAACGAGGUAUUGCCCAAUUCUAGAAUCACUAAUAAAAGCCAAUUGAUCUUUAAAAUUGUAACUUCAUAAUUUUGACAGUUGUUAACUAGUUAUUUGAAAAAAGUGAACUUUAAUAUAAAAAUGUAGCAUUUGUAGGAAGUAGCUUUCACCCCUAGAAAGGGGGAGAUAAAGGAAAGAGGUUAGAACUACUAGGACUUAAAUAAAUAAAACACCCCAAACUCUUAAAGCUUGGAGGAAGAACCUGUGGAGGUGAAACUCAAAUAUCUCAGCAGAGGCGGUUGCUGCCUGGCUGGUGCUAGUGUCUCUGAGCUUAGAGGAGGCCCUCUGUGUCAUAACACCCCUGAGGAAGAGGCACCGCUGGCUGGUGCAGGUGUUCCUGAGGAGGGUGUGAAGAGCAGAGCUCCUCUAGCAUCGGAAAAACUAACUGGAUUCAGCUGCUGCUUUGGAAAACAACCAAGGUUGCUGAGGUGAUGAGUGUGGUUGGGUGAUGCUGACAGGCACAGCAGGCAGAGAGGAGGCAAACAGGAAGAAGAAAGUCCCUUUUUCUAUCUCCAGCCUUGCAACUUCCCUCUAGUAUCCCUAAUGGUGAAUCCAAGCAAGGAGAAGCUGAAAAGAAAAAAGAGAAAGUUGGCAGAGCCCC
rnacentral:lncRNA from 1 species